AUUGAACGCUGGCGACAUGCCUAACACAUGCAAGUCGAGCGAGCGGCGGACGGUUGAGUAAUGUCUGGGAAACUGCCUGAUGGAGGGGGAUAACUACUGGAAACGGUAGCUAAUACCGCAUACCAUCAGAUGUGCCCAGAUGGGAUUAGCUAGUAGUUGGGGUAACGGCUCACCUAGGCGACGAUCCCUAGCUGGUCUGAGAGGUUGACCAGCCAAACUGGAACGGAGACACGGCCCAGACUCCGACGGGAGGCGGCAGUGGGGAAUAUGGCACAAUGGGCGCAAGCCUGAUGCAGCCAUGCCGCGUGUGUGAAGAAGGCCUUAGGGUUGUAAAUCACUUUCAGCGGGGAGGCGUUACCCGCAGAAGAAGCACCGGCUAACUCCGUGCCAGCAGCCGCGGUAAUAC
rnacentral:rRNA from 1 species